rnacentral:rRNA from 1 species
AUUGAACGCUAGCGGGAUGCUUUACACAUGCAAUUAGAACGAGUGGCGGACGUGUGAGUAAUAUAUCCGAACGUGCCCCGUAGCCGGGGAUAACUACUCGAACGAGUGGCUAAUCCCGCCUCCUAUUUGAGCGGCCUAUAUCGUAUUAGCUCGUUGGUUGGGUAAACGCUCACCAAGGCAACGAUCCGUAGCUGGUUUGAGAGGACUACCAGACACACUGGGACUGAGACACGGCCCAGACUCCUACGGGAGGCAGCAGUGGGGAAUUUUGGACAAUGGGGGAAACCCUGAUCCAGCCAUCCCGCGUGUAUGAGAAGGCCUUCGGGUUGUAAAGUACUUUUGGCAGAGAAGCGGUAUCUGCAGAAUAAGCACCGGCUAACUACGUGCCAGCAGCCGCGGUAAUAC